CUCUCGCUAGACCUAAACAAGAUCUAGUUUUUCUCCCCUCCUAAUUUUCGAUCUCUCCCUCUCUAGUGUUUUCUUCAGGGUAACUGUUGCAACCCAUCACAAUUGUCAUCCGUUUUCAAUCUCAUCAAGGAGUGACCUCCAUCGGCCUAGACGAUGCUGAUUCAAGUUUACGCUAUUAUAUUUUUGUAAUCUCUGACAUUUCCGUAGGCGUUCGAUAUUGGGGAUCUGAUGUUCCCACAAAUUUGCCGCUAUGGAGAGGCGGCAGAUCUACGAUAUCGUUAAUGUCCUCUAGAGCGUUGGGGUUCUUGCGCGAAAGGCAAAGAAUCAGUAUUCUUGGAAAGGAUUUGGGGCAAUCUCUAAUGCUAUACAGGAGCUUAAGGAAAAGAUCGUCAUCAGUUUCCUUUGAAAUUCAAAAUCAGGGUUUUGAAAUUCAAAAUCUUGAUUUUGAUCUUUGAAAACCCUAAAUUUUAAAACAUUACUGCCCGCAGCAGAGUCCCACUUUGUGAACUUUCGGAGCAAGGUUUGGGUUUAUUUCGGAAAAGGUGGCUGCUAGACUUUUGAUCGAGUUUGGGAGGAAGCUUUCAAUGGUAUCUGUUGGAUUUGGGUUUUUUUCAGUUGUCGAAAAUUGUGGUUUUUUGUGGUCUCAAGUAUGCUUUGUUCUGUCAAUCAAUAGCAUUCAAUAUGAUUCAGUAAGAGUUGGUAGCUUUCCUAAUAUAUUUGAUGUUUUUGUUUUUUUUUUGGUUUUUAGUGCAGUGCUCAAUUUUCUUAGAUGUGGAUUGCUUUGGCUUAUAGUCUUAGAAAAAUUGAUGCUUUGCCUUUGUGGGUGGUGAUUACUUUCUGCUAAUUUGUUUUAUUCAGUUUGGCGUGCAUAUAAAACAUUAUAUACAAGUACCUAUUAGUUUCAUACAAAGUUAUUCUGCAUAUCAAAAACUACAUGCACGCCAAACUGAAUAACUAUUUCUCUACUUUGUGUUGAGGCUCCAAAAAAGAUUUAGCCAAGUUCAUAAGUUCAAGAUUUACGGCAAGGAUUUACUACAGUUAAUCAGGAAGCUAAAGCAUUAUUAAGAAGAUAUAGAUAUCGUACAGGAACCAUAGAAGUUGGUUUACAUGUAUUUGAAGGGGAAUAGAUAUUGAUGCAGUGACUCUAAAAAUCAAAGUCACCCUUGCUUGAGCAGGCAAACAUUGUAGGAGACGUUCUUAAGAAAGAAUAUGAAAGUUGCUGGAGGUAGAGGUAGCAGAUGCAGCUAAGGGGAGGAACAUGAAGAGAUUUAUGUUUUUUUAUGUUGUAGUUUCGUUUUACUUUUAUGAAUUGUACAGUAUAUU